CCAGUUACCACUGCGACUCCGGACCGAUUGGACGCGUUUUGAGCGUUUGGCCAGCAAAAACGGUAUUAUUUUCCACUCGGGGCUACGCGUGCGCGUCUCUGCAAAGUCAAAAUCAAAGACAAAUGCAAAGGCAAGUGCAAAGCCAAAAGCCAGAGGUAAACGCAAACUCAAAGUAACAACUUCGACGGUCGAAAUUACCGGUUUUUCGCCAACACAACAGUCCCCGCUCUCAGUGAAUUUUUACGCGCGGUCUUUUCUUCGCCUGCUGUUUUCCGAAAAGUGCGUUGGCUUUUCCAACAACCACCCCCUUUUCGCCGCCCAGCUCACCGGUCGGGGUUAUAGUCGGUCUACUAUUCGCAUUAUUUGAAUUUCCCGGAGUCGAAAUAGUUAAAUCAGUUUAAACAGUGCUAGAGUGAGGUCAGCCACACCAACUGGCGAGUGCUAAUUAUAAUAUAUUGUGUUAAUAAUACAAACACAGGGUUCACGCACAGGAAACAACACGGAUGCGCGAUUUUAAAUGCAAUAUCAUAAAUAUUUAACAAUGCAGCCGUGCAGCUAAAGCGGAUUAUUGGCCACCCACGCGUGGAAGUUCAGCGGCAGAGCAAACAAAAGCCUCCCUCGGCAUCGCAUCAACUUGAGGAAAUACAGAUGGCCACGCCCGCAGCACCGCCCACCGAUGAUAAUUGAAUAGGACCAUUAAUUGCACUGUGGUUUGUUGGUUCUCGCACCACACCCACACACACGCUCCACACACACACACAGACACGGGGGAGAGACCGAAACACACACACACAUCGACCAAAAUAAGGCCACGUGGUCGAGUCAUGCAAACGAGGGAGUUCCCUCAAAGGCCCCUGGGCCUGCUCCUUGUGCUCCUUGUGGUCCUGCUGCAAUCAUCGCUCAUCAAGAGCUACUUGAUUAUCGUGCACGAGGACACGCCUCCUGGCACCGUAAUCUUCAACGCCUCCGUCUAUAAACUUGGUUCCGAGCGGCAUUACAAGAUCAAUGCCCACAAGUCCGCCAACUUUGUGCACCAUCUGGUCUCCGUGAAUCACAAGGAUGGCCAGAUUCAGCUGAGGAAGGCUCUCAAGUGCGAUGGCAUCUACUAUCCGAAUCUGUUCACCUUCUACGUGGACUCAACCUCGAAUCGGCUGCGCAGCAUAGAUUACUAUAGUCUGCCUGUGCGGAUCUUCGUCUCGGGACACAGCUGCAAUGAGGACAGGAGGAUAGAGCAGGAACUGCAUCACCAUCACUACGAGGAGGAGGACAAUACGGGCUACUCAAAGCGAAGGAGAAGGCGGUCUGCCCAGGAGAUGGUCCAACUGAAUGGCAAUCAGCUGGAGGAGGUAUUCCGGCAAAACAGCACGGAGUUCCGAGCUGGAGAUCUCAUUUUUGGUGACAGUUUCGACAACGAGAUGAGGCACAGGAUUCUAAGUCGAAAGAGAAGAGCAGUGGGAUCGCCGGAUCCGCUGCACCUCCAGCCCGCCCUGCAUCGCCGGAUCUCGGAUGCCAAGCAGUGGAUCUCGGAGACGUACGCCUCCUAUGCCAUUCACACCACGGACAAGUGGAACCAGAUCUGCUUGAGAAGAUCGCAGUUCAUCAACAGCCUGAAUGCCUUUCUGCCAAGGAGCGUCUGUCAGCAUUGCAAGGUUAGUUUUCUGGAUGUGAACGACGAGCGAUUCGCCAUCGAACACCAGAGCAGAGAUCUGGUGGCCAGCAGGGAUGUGUGCAUCGCAGAGUCCAUGUGGAAAGUGAGCAUAACCUUUAAUAUAAGGUGCGAUCGACGCGACAUCGUGGACUCGGACCAUCGCCUGAAGAUUGUUUACCACCAUCAAGAGUUCAACGAUACGGAUAUAGCCCGAAGGGUUCGAAGGGAGCUCCGCAAUCAAUCACCCUACUUUGAACAAGCACUCUAUGUGGCCUCAGUGCUCGAGGAGCAACCGGCAGGCUCCGCGGUGACCACAGUGCGGGCCCGAGAUCCCGAAGAUUCGCCUGUGGUUUAUUCCAUGGUAUCACUGUUGGACUCCCGCUCGCAGUCACUGUUUAAGGUGGAUUCCAGGACUGGCGUAGUUACCACCUCAGCCAGUUUGGAUCGUGAGCUCAUGGACGUACACUACUUCAGAGUGGUGGCCACGGAUGAUAGCUUCCCACCGCGAUCUGGAACAACGACGCUGCAAGUGAACGUCCUGGAUUGUAAUGACCACAGCCCCACCUUCGAGGCGGAGCAGUUCGAGGCGAGUAUUCGUGAAGGAGCCACUGUGGGUUCCACGGUGAUAACGCUACGAGCAACCGACCAGGACAUUGGCAAGAACGCGGAAAUCGAAUACGGAAUCGAGGCAGUGACUGAUGGCGCCGGGCUGGCCCAAGACCAGGAAAUGCCCAUCUUCCGGAUCGAUUCCCGUUCGGGCGUGAUAUCGACGAGGAGCAGUCUGGACCGGGAGACAUCGGAUAGCUAUCAUCUGCUGGUGACCGCAGCAGAUUUGGCUUCAGCACAAAGUGAACGACGAACGGCCACGGCCAGUGUCCAGGUGAAGGUUCUCGAUGACAACGACAACUACCCGCAGUUUAGUGAACGCACCUACACAGUCCAAGUGCCGGAGGAUCAAUGGGGUGGCACUGAGGACAACACCGUUGCACACAUCAGGGCAACGGAUGCGGAUCAAGGGAACAAUGCCGCCAUUAGAUACGCAAUUAUCGGCGGAAACACUCAGUCACAGUUCUCUAUCGACUCGAUGUCGGGUGAUGUGAGUCUAGUGAAGCCGCUUGACUACGAAAGUGUACGCAGCUACAGGCUGGUGAUUCGGGCUCAAGAUGGAGGCAGUCCCUCCAGGAGUAACACCACCCAGCUCUUGGUUAACGUCAUCGACGCGAAUGACAAUGCCCCGAGGUUUUACACCUCGCAGUUUCAGGAGAGCGUACUCGAGAAUGUCCCCGUGGGUUACAACAUCAUUCGGGUGCAGGCCUACGACUCCGACGAAGGUGCCAAUGCAGAGAUUACCUACAGCAUUUCCGAAAGAGAUGACAACUUUCCCCUAGCCGUGGAUCCUCGUACUGGUUGGGUGCAAACAAUAAAGCCCCUGGAUCGUGAGGAGCAGGGUCGCUUUGCCUUCCAGGUGGUGGCUAAGGAUGGAGGUGUGCCCCCCAAGUCGGCCAGUUCCUCGGUGGUAAUCACCGUGCAGGACGUCAACGACAAUGAUCCAGCCUUCAAUCCCAAGUACUACGAGGCAAACGUGGGAGAGGAUCAACCGCCAGGCACUCCGGUUACCACAGUCACAGCAACGGAUCCGGACGAGGACUCCCGCUUGCACUACGAGAUCACAACGGGCAACACAAGGGGACGCUUCGCGAUCACCUCUCAGAAUGGUCGGGGUCUUAUUACCAUCGCCCAGUCGCUGGAUUACAAACAGGAGAAGCGCUUCCUGCUCACAGUAGCUGCCACCGACUCCGGAGGACGUUCUGACACGGCCACUGUCCAUAUUAACAUUACGGAUGCCAAUAACUUCGCUCCCAUCUUUGAAAAUGCCCCGUAUAGCGCUUCGGUGUUUGAAGAUGCCCCUGUGGGCACCACGGUCCUCGUGGUUUCCGCCACCGACAGUGAUGUGGGAGUGAAUGCACAGAUCACCUACUCCCUUAAUGAAGAGAGUAUAAACGGCUUGGGCAGUCCAGAUCCAUUUUCGAUCAACCCGCAGACGGGUGCUAUUGUUACUAAUGCCCCUCUGGAUCGGGAGACCACCAGUGGAUAUCUGCUCACCGUGACUGCCAAGGACGGGGGUAACCCUUCGUUGAGUGACACUACCGACGUGGAGAUUGGAGUGACCGAUGUUAACGACAAUGCACCUUCUUUUAAGAGCCCACUGUACCAAGCUUCCAUUUUGGAAGAUGCCUUAGUCGGUACCUCUGUGAUCCAGGUGGCUGCCAGUGAUCCCGAUGUAGGCCUUAAUGGGCGCAUCAAGUACUUGCUGAGUGACCGCGACAUGGAGGACGGAUCCUUUGUCAUAGAUCCCACCUCGGGAACUAUUCGCACCAACAAGGGACUGGACAGAGAAAGUGUCGCCGUCUUCCAUCUUACCGCAAUUGCCGUGGACAAGGGAUCCCCACCGCUUUCAAGCACCGUAGAAGUGCAAAUCCGACUGGAAGAUGUCAAUGAUUCGCCACCGACCUUUGCUUCGGACAAAAUUACACUCUAUGUGCCGGAGAACUCCCCUGUGGGCUCUGUAGUGGGUGAGAUUCAUGCCCACGAUCCCGAUGAGGGCGUCAAUGCAGUGGUGCACUAUUCCAUUAUUGGCGGAGAUGACUCCAAUGCGUUUUCCUUGGUAACUCGACCUGGUUCCGAACGAGCUCAACUGUUGACCAUGACCGAACUAGAUUAUGAAUCCACUCGAAAGCGUUUCGAACUGGUGGUUCGGGCAGCCAGCCCACCCUUGCGUAACGAUGCCCACAUCGAGAUCCUAGUCACGGAUGUGAAUGACAAUGCUCCAGUGCUGCGGGACUUUCAAGUUAUAUUUAACAAUUUCCGCGAUCAUUUUCCCAGUGGAGAGAUUGGACGAAUUCCAGCUUUCGAUGCCGACGUGAGCGAUAAACUACACUACCGGAUACUCUCCGGAAACAAUGCCAAUCUACUGCGCCUCAACAGCAGUUCGGGAGGACUGGUGCUAAGUCCCCAGCUGAACACGAAUGUCCCCAAGUUUGCCACGAUGGAGGUUUCCGUAUCGGACGGAAUUAACGAAGCCAAGGCGAUUAUGCAGCUUUCUGUCCGACUGAUCACCGAGGACAUGCUCUUUAACUCGGUAACGGUGCGACUAAACGAGAUGACGGAGGAGGCCUUCCUAUCGCCCUUGCUCAACUUUUUCCUGGACGGAUUGGCUGCCAUUAUUCCCUGUCCCAAGGAACACAUAUUUGUGUUUAGCAUCCAGGAUGACACGGACGUCAGCUUACGAAUUCUAAACGUCAGCUUCUCAGCCCGCCGACCGGAUGUGUCCCACGAAGAGUUCUACACGCCGCAGUAUCUUCAGGAGCGAGUCUACUUGAAUAGAGCCAUCCUUGCCCGAUUGGCAACCGUGGAGGUUCUUCCCUUCGACGACAAUCUCUGCGUUCGGGAACCCUGUCUGAAUUUCGAAGAGUGUUUAACUGUCUUGAAGUUCGGAAAUGCUUCGGAGUUCAUACACAGCGAUACAGUCCUAUUUAGGCCCAUCUAUCCGGUUAAUACGUUUGCGUGCUCUUGCCCAGAAGGUUUCACGGGUAGCAAGGAGCACUAUCUGUGUGACACGGAGGUGGAUCUCUGCUACUCUGAUCCCUGCCAAAAUGGAGGAACCUGUGUGAGGCGAGAAGGUGGCUACACUUGUGUAUGUCCAUCUACGCAUACUGGUCAGAAUUGCGAAACAGGAGUGGGACACCUGCGUCCUUGUCCGUCGGAAACAUGUGAGGGAGGGUUAUCCUGCCUCAGCAAUUAUCCCAGCUCCCAACCUCCUCCCUACACGGCCACCUGUGAGCUGCGGGCCCGUGCCUUUGGACGCAACUCCUUCCUGACAUUCGAAAGUCUAAAGCAAAGACAUCGGUUUAACCUUAAGCUGCGUUUUGCCACCGUCCAGGAGAAUGGAUUGCUGCUCUACAAUGGAAGGUACAACGAACUGCAUGACUUCAUAGCCUUGGAGAUCCACGAAGGACACGUGAGCUUCUCCUUUUCCUUGGGCGACCAUAGUGAAAGGAUUUCGGUGAUGCAGGAGGCAAAGGUGUCCGAUGGAAAAUGGCAUCAGGUAGAAGUGGUCUAUCUGAACCGAACUGUCACCUUAGUGCUAGAUAAUUGUGACACCGCCAUUGCCCUUUCUGGACAACUGGGUGAUAGAUGGAGCUGCGCUAAUCGCACUACUCUGAAGUUGGACAAACGCUGUUCGCUGCUCACGGAGACCUGCCAUCGCUUCCUGGACCUAACAGGACCUUUACAAGUGGGCGGACUUCCCCGCAUUCCAGCCCACUUCCCGGUGACCAAUCGCGACUUUGUGGGAUGUAUCUCUGACCUUCGAAUCGAUGAUCGUUUCGUUGAUCUAAACUCAUAUGUGGCGGAUAAUGGAACGUUAGCUGGCUGCCCCCAAAAGGCUCCUCUCUGUCAAUCCGAACCUUGUUUCAAUGGCGGCACCUGUCGCGAAGGCUGGGGAACCUAUUCCUGCGAGUGUCCCGAGGGGUAUGCUGGAAACAGCUGCCAGGAUAAUAUCCCAGCUCCUUGGCGAUUCUCCGGAGAUGGGAGUCUCAGCUUCAAUCCCCUUCUGCGACCAAUCCAGUUGCCAUGGACCACCUCUUUCUCGCUGCGAACGCGCCAAAAAGAGGCUUUCCUCCUCCAAAUUCAAAUAGGACAGAACAGUUCAGCCGCAGUUUGUCUGAGGCAAGGAGUACUCUACUACAUUUUUGAUGGAGAACCCAUGUAUUUGGCUGGAGCUUUCCUUUCCGAUGGUGAGUGGCACAGAGUAGAAAUCCGUUGGCAACAGGGUUCCGAGAUACACUUCUCAGUGGACUAUGGACAGCGCUCUGGAUCCGUGCCCAUGUCGCAGAAGGUGCAAGGCCUCUAUGUGGGCAAGAUUGUAAUGGGCAGUCCCGACGGCAGUAUUGGAGCCGUUCCCGAAGCCUCUCCUUUCGAGGGAUGCAUUCAAGAUGUGCGUAUUGGAGCAGGGCAAUCGGUUCUCUCGCGUCCAACUAUUCGGGAGAAUGUGGAAGAUGGCUGCGAAUCACGUGCUCAGUGUCCGGAUCAUUGUCCCAUUCACUCAUCCUGCCAGAGUUCUUGGGAUCUGUCUAACUGCGAGUGUGAUUCCGGGUAUGUGGGCGCGGACUGUGCGCCCAUAUGUACGGUGAGACCUUGUACCUCCGGAGUUUGCAGAGCAAACACAAGUUUGCCUCGAGGUUACGAUUGCGAAUGCAACAGCAGCUCCCGUCAUGGCGAUUACUGUGAGAAAGAGCUUCAGCAACCGUGUCCUGGCGGUUGGUGGGGCGAACGGGUGUGUGGUCCAUGUAGAUGCGAUCUGGCCCAAGGAUACCACCCGGACUGCAACAAAACCACCGGACAAUGCUACUGCAAGACGAACCAUUACCAACCGCCCAACGAAACAGCCUGCCUUUCCUGCGACUGCUACUCCAUCGGCAGUUUUAGUGGAGCCUGCAAUCCUCUGACAGGGCAAUGCGAGUGUCGAGAAGGAGUUAUUGGACGUAGGUGUGACUCCUGCUCAAAUCCCUACGCCGAAGUCACUCUCAGUGGAUGCGAAGUAGUUUACGAUGCCUGUCCCCGAUCCUUUGCCGGCGGUGUAUGGUGGCCUCGCACUCCUCUGGGAGGAGUUGCCAUCGAAGGAUGUCCUCCACCGGCUCGAGGAAAAGGGCAACGCAGCUGCGAUGUCCAAUCGGGAAGCUGGAAUACUCCGGACAUGUACAACUGCACUUCGGAGCCUUUUGUGGAGCUGCGUCGCCAACUGUCCCAACUGGAGAAACUCGAGCUAGAACUCAACUCCUUUGUGGCCAUCAAAAUGGCAGAGCAACUGAGAAAAGCUUGCGAUGCGGUGGACAGGAGAGGUGCCAGCAAGGAUCAAAAGACAUCCGGAAAUGGCCGCCCCAACCGGCGUUACAAAAUGGAAUCGUCCUUCCUGCUCAGCAAUGGCGGAAAUGUCUGGUCACAUGAGCUCGAAAUGGACUACCUCUCCGAUGAACUGAAAUUCACCCAUGACCGUCUGUAUGGCGCUGAUCUUCUGGUGUCGGAGGGCCUCCUACAGGAGCUGAUCAACUAUGAACUCAUGCAAAGUGGCCUUAACUUGUCGCACAGUCAAGACAAAUACUUUAUUAAGAAUCUAGUAGAUGCGGCUAGCGUUAUUUUGGACCGAAAAUACGAGGCAGAGUGGAGAAGGGCCACGGAACUCAUUCAAAGGGGACCAGACGAUCUGGUUGAUGCAUUUAACAAGUACCUGGUGGUUUUAGCUCGAUCUCAACAUGACACCUACACUAGUCCCUUUGAGAUCGUGCAACCUAAUAUGGUCCUUGGCUUGGACAUCGUCACCACGGAAUCCCUGUUUGGCUAUGAGCCGGAGCAGCUAAGCGAAUACCACCGAACCAAGUACCUCAAACCGAAUGCUUUUACCACAGAGAGUGUGGUGCUGCCGGAUACCAGUGGAUUCCUACAGCACUCGGCUCGUCAACGACCAGUAAUUAGCUUCCCCAAAUACAACAACUACAUUCUGGAUCGCCGUAAGUUUGAUCAGCACACCAAGGUACUGGUGCCCCUGGAGAUGCUGGGAAUUACGCCUCCGGAAAGCGAUGAGAUUUCACAGAGUGGACGAAGAGGAGGUAGCCAUGACCAUCGUGCCAUCGUGGCGUAUGCGCAAUACAAGGAUGUGGGACAGCUGCUCCCCGAUCUGUAUGAUGAGACCAUAACCCGUCGUUGGGGUGUGGAUGUAGAGCUGGCCACCCCCAUUCUCUCACUGCAGAUUUUAGUGCCCUCAAUGGAUAGGGAACAGGAGACACAACGCCUGGAGAUUCCGUCGAGGAAGAUCUUCUCCUCGUCAUCGCCAUCAUCAUCUUCAUCAGGCAGCACGGAACAGCAAUUUGUGGAGGUUUUCGAUGUUCCUAAAUCUCCGACGAGCAGCAGUGAGCAACAGAUUGAGGAUAUACGGAUAACAGCCCAUGAAAUUCCGCCACCAGUUUCCUCUGUUGAACAACAGGAGGCUUCAAGUGGUGAAGAUGGUGAAGAAAGGGAACCACACAUUCGCCUAAAUCUUGACGACAUUGAGUUCCAUGGAAACUCCGGCGAGGAGGUCAUUUCUCCAGACUCCCCCGAAAUGCUUAAUCCAAAUUAUGAAGGCGUCAGCUCUACUGGAAAUGAUGAUCAGCCAAAGGGUGAAAACGAAGCAGUUUAUAGAGAUCGUCGAUUGGUGAAGAGGCAGGUUGAGAUCACAUAUCCUUCAGAACAAAUGCAGCAAUCAGAACAGGUGGUGUAUAGAUCCUUGGGCUCGCCUCAUUUGGCACAACCCAUAAAGCUGCAAAUGUGGCUGGAUGUGGACUCAGCUCGUUUUGGACCCCGCUCGAACCCCCAAUGCGUCCGCUGGAACUCCUUUACCAAUCAGUGGACCAGAUUGGGCUGUCAGACAGAGAUCCCUGACUUCGAUGGAGACUUUAAUCCCGCGGCACAGCCAGCGAUCCUUGUGAACUGUAGCUGCACCCAUAUAUCCAGCUAUGCUGUCAUUGUGGAUGUAAUUGAUCCAGAGGACAUCCCAGAACCUUCGCUCCUGGUGCAGAUCACCUCGUACUCCGCCUUCCUGGUGUCACUUCCCCUGCUGCUGGGAGUGCUCUUAGCCUUGGCCCUCCUACGUGGCCAGCAAACCAAUUCAAACACCAUUCACCAGAACAUUGUGCUUUGUGUCUUCUGCGCGGAGCUUCUCUUCUUCGUGGGAAUGCAAUCGCGCCGGCAGCUCCUGGAAAGCGAGUUUCCCUGCAAGCUAACGGCCAUCUGUUUGCACUACUUCUGGUUGGCUGCCUUCGCCUGGACAACCGUGGACUGCGUCCAUCUAUACAGGAUGCUCACCGAAAUGCGGGACAUCAACCACGGACCCAUGGGCUUCUACUUCGCCAUGGGAUACGGUGCUCCAGCCAUCGUAGUCGGAUUAUCUGUGGGAGUUCGUGCUCAUGAGUACGGAAAUAGUUUAUUCUGUUGGCUGUCUGUCUACGAGCCCGUUGUGUGGUGGUUGGUGGGUCCCAUUGCAAGCAUGUCCGUGGUAAACCUGCUCAUCCUGUUCGUCUCCGUCAAGGCUGCGUUUACCCUUAAGGAUCACGUGCUUGGAUUUGGAAAUUUACGAACGCUUCUCUGGUUGUCGGUGGUAUCGCUUCCGUUGAUGGGAGUCAUGUGGGUCCUAGCGGUGCUUGCCGCUUCGGAGCACUCUCAGUUGCUGAGCCUGUUGCUCUCUGGCGUGGUGCUCCUCCACGCGCUUUUCUGCCUCAUUGGAUACUGCAUUAUUAACAAACGGGUGCGCGAGAACCUCCAACGCACCUGUCUGCGAUGCAUGGGUCGCAAGGUUCCGCUUUUGGAUUCCUCCAUGGUGGUUAGCAAUAGCUCCCACAACGUGAAUGCAGCGGCGAGGCCGAGCAACUUCCUGGCCGGUGGAUAUGAUACCACCACCAGGCGAAACAUAGGCAUUAGCGCUAGUAGCACUACGUCGAGAAGUACGGCCAAAACGAGCUCGAGUCCGUACAGCGAUGGACAACUGAGGCAGACCUCCACGUCCACCUCGAACUACAAUUCAGCCAGCGAUGCUCCGAGUUUUCUGAGGGGAUUUGAAUCAUCUACAACAGGAAGAAGUAGAGGUGGGGACGAGAAACCAUCCCGACGCCAGAGGAAGGACUCGGACUCUGGCUCUGAAACGGAUGGAAGAUCCCUCGAACUAGCCAGCAGUCACUCCAGCGAUGAUGAUGAAUCCCGGACUGCCAGAUCUUCGGGUACACAUCGUAGCACAGCGGUGAGUUCCACGCCGGCCUAUUUACCCAACAUCACGGAGCACGUGCAGGCCACCACUCCGCCGGAACUGAAUGUGGUGCAGAGUCCGCAGCUCUUCCCGAGCGUAAAUAAGCCCGUCUACGCUCCGCGCUGGUCCAGUCAGCUGCCGGAUGCGUACUUGCAAUCACCUCCGAACAUCGGACGGUGGUCACAGGACACUGGAUCUGAUAACGAGCACGUUCACGGGCAGGCCAAGAUGACCAUCUCGCCGAAUCCCCUGCCCAAUCCCGAUCUUACGGACACCAGUUACCUGCAGCAGCACCACAACAAAAUCAAUAUGCCUCCCUCGAUCUUGGAAAAUAUCCGAGAUGCUCGGGAGGGCUAUGAGGACAGCCUGUACGGAAGACGGGGAGAAUAUCCUGACAAGUAUGGCUCCUACAAGCCACCCAGUCACUAUGGCAGCGAAAAGGACUAUCCCGGCGGAGGAAGUGGCUCCCAGACGAUUGGGCAUAUGAGGAGUUUCCACCCGGAUGCGGCGUACUUAAGUGACAACAUAUACGACAAGCAGCGAACGCUCGGAAGUGGCUACUUGGGAACCAAGUCGGAGUCGCCUUACCUGUCCAAAGAUCGCAUAACACCCGAUAUCUAUGGAUCCCGGGAUGGUCAUUAUAGCCUUAAGAGGCAGCCUGCCUAUGCAACUGAUUCCCUGCACUCGGUUCACUCGCUCCUAAAGAACGAUUACCACCAGCAGCAGCAGCAACAGCAGCAGCAGCAUCUCCAUUUGCAGGACAGACUGUCCGAGGGAUCGGAUAAGAAUGGAUACCACUUUCCCUACACCGCCGAGGAGGACCACCUGCCCGCCAGGAAGCUGAGCCACACCCAACCGCCUUCGCUCCACGGCUCCCAGCUGAUGCAGCCACCUGGAGUGGGCCUGGUCAACGAUGUGAACAAUCCGGGCUUGAUGGGAAGGCACACUCUUAAUGGAGGAUCCCGACACAGCUCCAGAGCCUCCUCGCCGCCCUCCAGCAUGGUUGCUCCCAUGCAGCCACUGGGGCCACUGACCAGCAUCACGGAUACCGACUGGUCCUGGGAACGUUUGAAGCAAAUCUAAUUUGACUAUCUUUCACUUCUAUUCUCUCCAAUAUCGUGCUUUCGCUCUCUCUCUUUCUGUUUUUGCUCUUUGAAAAUAAACCCAAACACACACAUACGCAUACCGCAAACACACAUAAUCGACAAACUAAAAAAAUGCAAACUGAAAUUCGACGUAAUGCAAAAUGCUAUGGCCGCUCGUGUUCCAUUCAUCCAAACCCAACAAACCCGACCAAAUCAAACAACAUCAACAACAACCACACAACUACAAAUUCAACUACUACUACUACAACAACAGCUCAGAGUUCGACAUUAUUUGGCUGCAUCGCAGGCAACAGAGGCAACAGUAUCCCUGGUCGCUGACCAUAUGGCGGAAUAUUGAUGACGACGAGACCACAGUGUGACGACUGUCCCAGCAGCAACAGCAGCAGCCACAAUUGAAGCUGCAACAAAGGCAGCAGCAGCAACAGCAGCAGCACAUACAACAACUGCUGCAGCAACGCACCAAGCAACAGAAGCAAAAGCAAACGCAAACGCAAUACUUUGCCACCAUUAGACGCAAGCCGCAGUACAGGGUUCACACGGAGGACUGAGGUCCUUCUUGCCAAUCGAUCGUAGCAUACUUUUGGGAGCACCUGCCGCCAUAGCUAUGCAUAGCUAUGGCAUAGGAGCACGCCCGUCAUUAUAAUUGAAACUUUGUACAUACAUGCACCCUCUUAAUUUUACGUAAACCCAGCUUAGUAUACCGCCAUUUGGGCACAGAUAUUUAUACGAUUCCCUAGCAUUUACAUAAUUUAAAGCGCCAGCUGCAUUUCGUUUGGAAUUGCAUAACUCGUAUGCACACAGACACAGAAUUACUCAGCUUUAGCCUCCUGUAUGUAUUAUAAAUUACACUAUAUAAUUAUGUAUUAAAACAAGAGUCAGACUGA